rnacentral:tRNA from 1 species
GCGGCGAUGGUGAAAUUGGUAGACACACCAGCUUGAGGGGCUGGCGAGCGUUCGCUCAUGGAGGUUCAAGUCCUCUUCGCCGCA